GGUUUGUAGCUCAGUGGUAGAGCACUUGCCUAGACUGUGUGAGGCACUGGAUUCGAUCCUCAGCACCA
rnacentral:tRNA from 1 species